rnacentral:rRNA from 1 species
AACGCUGGCGGCGUGCCUAUACAUGCAAGUCGCAGCGAUGAUUAAAGAUAGCUUGCUAUUUUUAUGAAGAGCGGCGAACGGGUGAGUAACGCGUGGGAAAUCUGCCGAGUAGCGGGGGACAACGUUUGGAAACGAACGCUAAUACCGCAUAACAAUGAGAAUCGCAUGAUUCUUAUUUGAAAGAAGCAAUUGCUUCACUACUUGAUGAUCCCGCGUUGUAUUAGCUAGUUGGUAGUGUAAAGGACUACCAAGGCGAUGAUACAUAGCCGACCUGAGAGGGUGAUCGGCCACACUGGGACUGAGACACGGCCCAGACUCCUACGGGAGGCAGCAGUAGGGAAUCUUCGGCAAUGGGGGCAACCCUGACCGAGCAACGCCGCGUGAGUGAAGAAGGUUUUCGGAUCGUAAAACUCUGUUGUUAGAGAAGAACGUUAAGUAGAGUGGAAAAUUACUUAAGUGACGGUAUCUAACCAGAAAGGGACGGCUAACUACGUGCCAGCAGCCGCGGUAAUACGUAGGUCCCAAGCGUUGUCCGGAUUUAUUGGGCGUAAAGCGAGCGCAGGUGGUUUCUUAAGUCUGAUGUAAAAGGCAGUGGCUCAACCAUUGUGUGCAUUGGAAACUGGGAGACUUGAGUGCAGGAGAGGAGAGUGGAAUUCCAUGUGUAGCGGUGAAAUGCGUAGAUAUAUGGAGGAACACCGGAGGCGAAAGCGGCUCUCUGGCCUGUAACUGACACUGAGGCUCGAAAGC